AUCACUCUUGGAUGGACCUGCGGUGCAUUAGCUAGUUGGUAAGGUAACGGCUUACCAAGGCAAUGAUGCAUAGCCGAGUUGAGAGACUGAUCGGCCACAUUGGGACUGAGACACGGCCCAAACUCCUACGGGAGGCAGCAGUAGGGAAUCUUCCACAAUGGACGAAAGUCUGAUGGAGCAACGCCGCGUGAGUGAAGAAGGGUUUCGGCUCGUAAAGCUCUGUUGGUAGUGAAGAAAGAUAGAGGUAGUAACUGGCCUUUAUUUGACGGUAAUUACUUAGAAAGUCACGGCUAACUACGUGCCAGCAGCCGCGGUAAUACGUAGGUGGCAAGCGUUGUCCGGAUUUAUUGGGCGUAAAGCGAGUGCAGGCGGUUCAAUAAGUCUGAUGUGAAAGCCUUCGGCUCAACCGGAGAAUUGCAUCAGAAACUGUUGAACUUGAGUGCAGAAGAGGAGAGUGGAACUCCAUGUGUAGCGGUGGAAUGCGUAGAUAUAUGGAAGAACACCAGUGGCGAAGGCGGCUCUCUGGUCUGCAACUGACGCUGAGGCUCGAAAGCAUGGGUAGCGAACAGGAUUAGAUACCCUGGUAGUCCAUGCCGUAAACGAUGAGUGAUAAGUGUUGGGA
rnacentral:rRNA from 1 species